rnacentral:rRNA from 1 species
UGAGGAAUAUUGCGCAAUGGGGGAAACCCUGACGCAGCAACGCCGCGUGGGUGAAGAAGGCCUUCGGGUUGUAAAGCCCUGUCAGGUGCGAAGAAACCUCCACAGGUGAAUAGUCUGUGGAGCUGACGGUAGCACCGGAGGAAGCACCGGCUAACUCCGUGCCAGCAGCCGCGGUAAGACGGAGGGUGCAAACGUUGUUCGGAAUCACUGGGCGUAAAGCGCGUGUAGGCGGUCCGAUAAGUCGAGUGUGAAAGCCCGAGGCUCAACCUCGGAAGCGCACUCGAAACUGGCGGGCUUGAGUACGGGAGAGGGAAGUGGAAUUCCUGGUGUAGAGGUGAAAUUCGUAGAUAUCAGGAGGAACACCGGUGGCGAAGGCGGCUUCCUGGACCGAUACUGACGC